rnacentral:rRNA from 1 species
GAUGAACGCUCGCGGGAGGCCUAACACAUGCAAGCCGAGCGGUAUUGUUUCUUCGGAAAUGAGAGAGCGGCGUACGGGUGCGUAACACGUGUGCAACCUGCCUUUAUCUGGGGGAUAGCCUUUCGAAAGGAAGAUUAAUACUCCAUAAUAUAUUGAACGGCAUCGUUUAAUAUUGAAAGCUCCGGCGGAUAGAGAUGGGCACGCGCAAGAUUAGCUAGUUGGUGAGGUAACGGCUCACCAAGGCGAUGAUCUUUAGGGGGCCUGAGAGGGUGAUCCCCCACACUGGUACUGAGACACGGACCAGACUACUACGGGAGGCAGCAGUGAGGAAUAUUGGUCAAUGGGUGCAAGCCUGAACCAGCCAUCCCGCGUGAAGGACGACUGCCCUAGGGGUUGUAAACUUCUUUUGUAUAGGGAUAAACCUACCCUCGAGAGGGUAGCUGAAGGUACUAUACGAAUAAGCACCGGCUAACUCCGUG